ACCUAAGCUUGACAUCCCAAUGACAUCUCCUUAAUCGGAGAGUUCCCUUCGGGGACAUUGGUGACAGGUGGUGCAUGGUUGUCGUCAGCUCGUGUCGUGAGAUGUUGGGUUAAGUCCCGCAACGAGCGCAACCCUUGUCUUUAGUUGCCAUCAUUAAGUUGGGCACUCUAGAGAGACUGCCAGGGAUAACCUGGAGGAAGGUGGGGAUGACGUCAAAUCAUCAUGCCCCUUAUGCUUAGGGCUACACACGUGCUACAAUGGGUAGUACAGAGGGUUGCCAAGCCGUAAGGUGGAGCUAAUCCCUUAAAGCUACUCUCAGUUCGGAUUGUAGGCUGAAACUCGCCUACAUGAAGCUGGAGUUACUAGUAAUCGCAGAUCAGAAUGCUGCGGUGAAUGCGUUCCCGGGUCUUGUACACACCGCCCGUCACACCACGGGA
rnacentral:rRNA from 1 species